rnacentral:rRNA from 1 species
GAUCAUGGCUCAGGAUGAACGCUGGCGGCGUGCUUAACACAUGCAAGUCGAACGGGGUUACGAUGUGUGAGGAAAGAAGCUUGCUUUGGACUAAACUUUCGUAACCUAGUGGCGGACGGGUGAGUAACGCGUGGGUAACCUGCCGUAUGCCGGGGGACAACAGUUGGAAACGACUGCUAAUACCGCAUAAGCGCACAGAUAGGCAUCUAUCAGUGUGAAAAACUCCGGUGGCAUACGAUGGACCCGCGUCUGAUUAGCCAGUUGGCGGUGUAACGGACCACCAAAGCGACGAUCAGUGGCCGGCCUGAGAGGGUGAACGGCCACAUUGGGACUGAGACACGGCCCAAACUCCUACGGGAGGCAGCAGUGGGGAAUAUUGGACAAUGGGGGAAACCCUGAUCCCAGCGACGCCGCGUGAGUGAAGAAGUAUUUCGGUAUGUAAAGCUCUAUCAGCAGGAAAGAAAAUGACGGUACCUGACUAAGAAGCCCCGGCUAACUACGUGCCAGCAGCGGC